rnacentral:lncRNA from 1 species
GCACAGGACGACGACCUCAUGGAGACAAGGCCUUUUGAGGUUUGCCAUGGUGAGGUCCACUUUGAAAACACCUUCAGAGCCAGUAGUCACAAAGAAAAGCCAGGGGGCAGGGGGGUGGAGCAAAACAUGGGCAGUGAGUGUGUAGAGACGCGGGAGGUGAGUGCCCUGAGACGCGGGAGGUGAGUGCAGGGACGCGGGAGGUGAGUGCCCUGAGACGCGGGAGGUGAGUGCAGGGACGCGGGAGGUGAGUGCGGGGACGCGGGAGGUGAGUGCCCUGAGACGCGGGAGGUGAGUGCAGGGACGCGGGAGGUGAGUGCUGAGUAGCAGGAGAUGAGUGCUCUGAGAUGCGAGAGGUGAGUGCCCUGAGACGCAGGAGGAACACUGAGCACAUGACUUUGUAAAGCUGACUCUCGCCUGUCCCUACCCCAAACCCACGUGUUCAUAUCAACCUGAAUUAAGUUGGUUCUGGAUGAUCCAAUGUGAUGGGGUGGAAGGAGGCCACACGUGGGGAGAGGGUGCUAGGUUAUUUGUCUUAUGCAGGAAAUAGUACAGAAAUUGAGAAAUACAUAUGUGUGUAAAUCCUUUCUACAAUGAGGAGUGACCAUCUGAAGAAUAAAAACCAGCACAACAACGGGGCACAUAAAUGGUGGGAGAAAGUAGGAAACGAGACAAGGACGGCAGCAGAAGUCGGAGAGAAAGUGCCAUGGAUGGACGCGUGACAGGCCACCAGAUGUGUCUUUUGAAGACUUCGUAACAACCGUUUAACUAAACAGAUUCAGAUUAACAGAAAGACAGACUCUGGAGUGGAUGUCUUUAGCAACAUGCUGUCUAAAGAAGACCCACGUGAUACAACGGUUAGCGAAAAGUUG